GUGAAUGCCAUCACCAUUUCCAUUGAGAAUUUAAAAAUCACCGGUGUUUAAUAUGCAGGCUUCCAAAGGCUCACAACAAAUCAAGACCCUUAAAUCUAGUUAAUUUGCUGCUAAUGUGAAACUUUUCUUAUUCUUUUAUUCUUGCCAGAUAAUUAGCCACAGAUCUAAAACUUAGUCUUAAAUGGCUAGAUGGUAAGUUUUGAUAAGCAGGAAUGUUUGUGAAUGGAAAUAGUGUAAAUAUUCAGUCCAAACUGGUAUAAAUACGUAAAAAACUAGCAAAAAAGAUAAUAGAGAAAAACAUUUAAAAACUUCUAAAGAUGAGAUGAAAGAGACUGAUUUUCCUAUGGAAUUAUGUAUCUGUAGGAAACCUAAUGAUUAUCAAUGGCUUUUAAUUUUAGAGUAAAUAUAUUCUUUUAUGAUCUUGCUAUUUUUCCAUCUUUUAAGAGAUCUUCCAAGUGUAUCAGAAUAUAUGUAGCCACUCUGACAAAUACAUAUGUUGGUAGCUUUAAAAGUUUGUAAUGUGAAGUCAGUAAAGGACAGUAGUUUCAUUGGUUGAGAAUACCCUUUGGUUUUUAAGUUAGCUAUGUUGAGAACAGUUUCCCUGGAUUCUUUCUAGUGCUGCAGAUGCAGAUUAUGUGUGUACUGGAGAGCCCUUUCCAAUUCA
rnacentral:lncRNA from 1 species